rnacentral:rRNA from 1 species
UACGAAGGGGGCUAGCGUUGCUCGGAAUCACUGGGCGUAAAGGGUGCGUAGGCGGGUCUUUAAGUCAGGGGUGAAAUCCUGGAGCUCAACUCCAGAACUGCCUUUGAUACUGAGGAUCUUGAGUUCGGGAGAGUGAGUGGAACUGCGAGUGUAGAGGUGAAAUCGUAGAUAUUCGCAAGAACACCAGUGGCGAAGGCGGCUCACUGGCCCGAUACUGACGCUGAGGCACGAAAGCGUGGGGAGCAAACAGG